GAGACAGCAGUAGCCGCGGUAAUACGUAGGGUGCGAGCGUUAAUCGGAAUUACUGGGCGUAAAGCGUGCGCAGGCGGUUGUGUAAGACAGGUGUGAAAUCCCCGGGCUUAACCUGGGAACUGCGCUUGUGACUGCACAGCUAGAGUAUGGCAGAGGGGGGUGGAAUUCCACGUGUAGCAGUGAAAUGCGUAGAGAUGUGGAGGAACACCGAUGGCGAAGGCAGCCCCCUGGGCCAAUACUGACGCUCAUGCACGAAAGCGUGGGGAGCAAACAGGAUUAGAUACCCGCGUAGUCCCUGUCUCUUAUAC
rnacentral:rRNA from 1 species